rnacentral:rRNA from 1 species
UACGUAGGCAGCGAGCGUUGUUCGGAGUUACUGGGCGUAAAGCGUGCGUAGGCGGUUGUCUAAGUUUGGUGUGAAAUCUCCUGCUUAACUGGGAGGGUGCGCCGAAAACUGGGUGACUGGAGUGUCGGAGAGGUAAGCGGAAUUCCUGGUGUAGCGGUGAAAUGCGUAGAGAUCAGGAGGAACACCUGUGGUGUAGACAGCUUACUGGACGAUAACUGACGCUGAGGCACGAAAGCGUGGGUAGCAAACAGG